rnacentral:rRNA from 1 species
GACGAACGCUGGCGGCGUGCUUAACACAUGCAAGUCGAACGGAAAGGCCCUGCUUUUGUUGGGUGCUCGAGUGGCGAACGGGUGAGUAACACGUGAGUAACCUGCCCUUGACUUUGUGAUAACUUCAGGAAACUCGGGCUAAUACCGGGUAUGAGCUCCUGCUGCAUGGUGUGGGUAGGAAAGUUUCGGCGGUUGUGGAUGGACUCGCGGCUUAUCAGCUUGUUGGUGGGGUAGUGGCUUACCAAGGCUUCGACGGGUAGCCUGCCUGAGAGGGUUACCGGCCACAUUGGGACUGAGAUACGGCCCAGACUGCUACGGGAGGCAGCAGUGGGGAAUAUUGCACAAUGGGCGGAAGCCUGAUGCAGCAACGCCGCGUGCGGGAUGACGGCCUUCGGGUUGUAAACCGCUUUCGACUGUGACGAAGAGUGAGUGACGGUAAUGGGUAAAGAAGCACCGGCUAACUACGUG